UACGGGGGGAGCAAGCGUUGUUCGGAUUUACUGGGCGUAAAGGGCGCGUAGGCGGUCGUGACAAGUCACUUGUGAAAUCUCCGGGCUUAACUCGGAACGGUCAAGUGAUACUGUCGGACUAGAGUACAGAAGGGGCAACUGGAAUUCUCGGUGUAGCGGUGAAAUGCGCAGAUAUCAGGAGGAACACCGAUGGCGAAGGCAGGUCUCUGGGCCGAUACUGACGCUGAGGAGCGAAAGCGUGGGGAGCGAACAGGG
rnacentral:rRNA from 1 species